GGUCCAUUAGCUCAGUUGGCUAGAGCGUCGUGCUGAUAACGCGAAGGUCGUGAGUUCGAGCCUCACAUGGACCA
rnacentral:tRNA from 1 species